rnacentral:rRNA from 1 species
GACGAACGCUGGCGGCGUGCUUAACACAUGCAAGUCGAACGGAAAGGCCCUGCUUUUGUGGGGUGCUCGAGUGGCGAACGGGUGAGUAACACGUGAGUAACCUGCCCUUGACUUUGGGAUAACUUCAGGAAACUGGGGCUAAUACCGGAUAGGAGCUCCUGCUGCAUGGUGGGGGUUGGAAAGUUUCGGCGGUUGGGGAUGGACUCGCGGCUUAUCAGCUUGUUGGUGGGGUAGUGGCUUACCAAGGCUUUGACGGGUAGCCGGCCUGAGAGGGUGACCGGCCACAUUGGGCCUGAGAUACGGCCCAGACUCCUACGGGAGGCAGCAGUGGGGAAUAUUGCACAAUGGGCGGAAGCCUGAUGCAGCAACGCCGCGUGCGGGAUGACGGCCUUCGGGUUGUAAACCGCUUUCGCCUGUAACGAAGCGUGAGUGACGGUAAUGGGUAAAGAAGUACCGGCUAACUACGUG